UGCACAUGCAAACAUUCGAAUUUCCUGUUGGCUCAGAGUGUUUGCAUUGCAAGUGACAUCUGGCUGACAGGAACUUGGAGAAAUGGGAUACGAAGUGAAUGCUGCAGUUACCACAGCAUCAUAUUUAUCAAAAGGCUUAAGAUAUCAUGUUGGGCUGAAACUCUUAAGGAGACACUCCUUGUAAUCCAUGGGAGAGAAAAAAAGAAAUCAAAGUUGUUCUACACUGCAAAGAGUGAGUCCUAACUUCAACUGGCAGCACUGGCAAUAACAGACCAAAAGACCAUCCUGUCAGACUCAUCAGAACUUCAGUCGGAUUCGCUGUGAUGCCCGGACACCGGGGACUGGGUUAGAGGAGAGAUUUCCCAAAUGACGCUGUAUUUUCCA